GAUGAACGCUGACAGAAUGCUUAACACAUGCAAGUCGAUUCAAUUUACCUUCGGGUAUUGAGGAUGGCGGACGGGUGAGUAACGCGUAAGGAACUUGCCUCUUGGUCUGGGACAACUGUUGGAAACGACAGCUAAUACCGGAUAUUAUGAGAUUCUCGCAUGGGAAACUUAUGAAAGCUAUAUGCGCCAAGAGAGAGCCUUGCGUUCCAUUAGCUAGUUGGUGGGGUAACGGCCCACCAAGGCGACGAUGGAUAGCCGGCCUGAGAGGGUGAACGGCCACAAGGGGACUGAGACACGGCCCUUACUCCUACGGGAGGCAGCAGUGGGGAAUAUUGGACAAUGGGCCACAAGCCUGAUCCAGCAAUUCUGUGUGCACGAUGAAGGUCUUCGGAUUGUAAAGUGCUUUCAGUUGGGAAGAAGAAAGUGACGGUACCAACAGAAGAAGCGACGGCUAAAUACGUGCCAGCAGCCGCGGUAAUACGUAUGUCGCAAGCGUUAUCCGGAUUUAUUGGGCGUAAAGCGCGUCUAGGCGGAAAAAUAAGUCUGAUGUUAAAAUGCGGGGCUCAACUCCGUAUUGCNNUGGAAACUGUUUUUCUAGAGUACUGGAGAGGUGGGCGGAACUACAAGUGUAGAGGUNAAAUUC
rnacentral:rRNA from 1 species